GAGUUUGAUCUUGGCUCAGGAUGAACGCUAGCGGCAGGCUUAACACAUGCAAGUCGAGGGUAGAGUAGCAAUACUUGAGACCGGCGCACGGGUGCGUAACGCGUAUGCAACCUACCUUUUACAGAGGGAUAGCCCAGAGAAAUUUGGAUUAAUACCUCAUAGUAUAUGUCUUUCGCAUGUUAGACAUAUUAAAGUUCCAACGGUAAAAGAUGGGCAUGCGUCCUAUUAGCUAGAUGGUAAGGUAACGGCUUACCAUGGCAACGAUAGGGUA
rnacentral:rRNA from 1 species